rnacentral:rRNA from 1 species
GGAGGAAAAGAAACCAACAGGGAUUGCCUUAGUAACGGCGAGUGAAGCGGCAAAAGCUCAAAUUUGAAAUCUAGCACUUUCAGUGUUCGAGUUGUAAUUUGAAGAAGGUAACUUUGGAAUUGGCUCUUGUCUAUGUUCCUUGGAACAGGACGUCACAGAGGGUGAGAAUCCCGUGCGAUGAGAUGUCCAAUUCUAUGUAAAGUGCUUUCGAAGAGUCGAGUUGUUUGGGAAUGCAGCUCUAAGUGGGUGGUAAAUUCCAUCUAAAGCUAAAUAUUGGCGAGAGACCGAUAGCGAACAAGUACAGUGAUGGAAAGAUGAAAAGAACUUUGAAAAGAGAGUGAAAAAGUACGUGAAAUUGUUGAAAGGGAAGGGCUUGAGAUCAGACUUGGUAUUUUGUGUUCCUUAUCCUUCUUGGAUUAGGUUCCUCACAGCUUACCGGGCCAGCAUCGGUUUGGAUGGCAGGAUAAUGACAUUGGAAUGUAGCUUUGCUUCGGUGAAGUGUUAUAGACUUUGUUGAUACUGCCUAUCUAGACCGAGGACUGCGUCUUUUGACUAGGAUGCUGGCGUAAUGAUCUUAAGCCGCCCGUCUU